CUCAGGGGAGACCAGCACCUCAGUGGUUGGCACGGCCAGCUACAAAUCCUUGGGCCUGGGUUUGACCCCGGGCCAGGCUGUCAGCACACAGGCCACCCAGCUGUUCAUCCUUUCUUUUGGGUUGGUCUGUAAAUGGCUACUGGGCAAGGUACCUGCAGCUAUCCGGCUGUCACCCCUGCCUGGCCCCAGGGUGACGGGUUGCUGCCCACCACAGGCUCAGGGCCGGGGACAGGGGUGAGCGGCGCCAACACACUGCAGCGCUCACUGUACACCAAAACUUCACCAUUGCCUCCAACAUUACUUCAGUCUUCAUUAUGGAAAUACAAAAUUACGCAAAUUUUCAUUAAUUGUUUAAUAAUGAUUUUAGUAUUUUUUCAACAAAAAAUUCUAAUUACAGACUUACAAACAUUUGUUACAUUUUCUUCAUGUGUGUUUGCAUGUGUGUGUGUGUGUGUGUGUGUCUGUUAGGUAUGUACAAGUAUCAAAGUGGAGAGAGAGAGAGAGAGAGAGAGAGAGAGAGAGAGAGAGAGAGAGAGAGAGAGCAGGGGGGGAGAGACAAAAUAUAAAACUUCUGAUUAGCUAAAUUUUCACACACACACACACACACGUAUAUACGCACUAUUUACAAACAUGGGCCUCCACUACUUAACACUCUCUCUCUCUCUCUCUCAACUUACAACAAUCACCAGGGUCAUUUCUUUCACACACACAAAAAAAACUAGUAUCAAUAUUAAUAGCGAUAAUAAUAAAAAUGCCCACUAAAACAGUAUAACACAAUCACUAGCUGCAUACUAAUCUAGCUUCAUCUCUUGUUCCUCCUCUUCUUCUUCAUGUUCUUUUCCUCUUCCUCCUCCUCUUGGUGUCGUUUCUCCUCAUCAUCAUCUUUUUCUCUUCUUCCUCUUCUUGUUCUUGCUCCUCUUCCUCUUCUUCACUUCCUUUUUGGUGUUGAAAGUGGUGGAGGAAGAUUCAUUGUGUUGUAUGUACUGGUGGUGAUGUGGAGGGGUGUGUGGGUAUGUUAGGAAAGGGUUCUGCUGUGGUCUGGUGGUGUGGAGGGUGUAUGGGCACGUUAGGGAGAGGUUGGGUGGUGUACUGGCGGUGGUAGUGGUGAUGAGGUAGUUCUGUGAUGUGGUGGUGGGGGUGGUGGCAUCAGAGGAACCAAUCAAGGGCAAACAAGGGUAUAGAAAGUCCACAAACUCCAGCUCCCACUAGGAAAGGUGACAGAGCGUUCCAUAAGAGUAUUUUUAAACGGUUCGAGAGGUGUCUGGAUACUCCCAUGAAUACUGAUGUGCGUGUAUUCAGCGAGUCCUGUCAUUAUGUUGCUGUAAUAAUGGCACCUUAGCAAUGUUCCGUGGCAUAUUUUACAUUAUUUCAUCAUAUCUUUAACCCCUCCGCUGCGAUUGGCAUGGAUUUGGCCUUCACUGGUAGCCUGGUAACAUACACUCCCAGGUCUUUCUCUGCCUCUGUGGUGGAUAGUGGAGUGUUUCCCAUGUGGUAUUGGUAUGCUUGAUAUCCCUUCACUGGUAGCCUGGUAACAUACACUCCCAGGUCUUUCUCUGCCUCUGUGGUGGAUAGUGGAGUGUUUCCCAUGUGGUAUUGGUGUGCUGGAUAUCCCUUCACUGGUAGCCUGGUAACAUACACUCCCAGGUCUUUCUCUGCCUCUGUGGUGGAUAGUGGAGUGUUUCCCAUGUGGUAUUGGUGUGCUGGAUAUCCCUUCACUGGUAGCCUGGUAACAUACACUCCCAGGUCUUUCUCUGCCUCUGUGGUGGAUAGUGGAGUGUUUCCCAUGUGGUAUUGGUAUGCUGGAUAUCCCUUCACUGGUAGCCUG